rnacentral:rRNA from 1 species
UACGGGGGGGGCAAGCGUUGUUCGGAAUUACUGGGCGUAAAGGGCUCGUAGGCGGCCAACUAAGUCAGACGUGAAAUCCCCAGGCUCAACCUGGGAACUGCGUCUGAUACUGGAUGGCUUGAAUUCGGGAGAGGGAUGCAGAAUUCCAGGUGUAGCGGUGAAAUGCGUAGAUAUCUGGAGGAAUACCGGUGGCGAAGGCGGGUCUCUGGGCCGAUACUGACGCUGAGGAGCGAAAGCGUGGGGAGCGAACAGG